AUUGAACGCUGGCGGCAUGCCUUACACAUGCAAGUCGAACGGCAGCACGGGGCAACCUGGUGGCGAGUGGCGAACGGGUGAGUAAUGCAUCGGAACGUACCUUUCAGUGGGGGAUAACGUAGCGAAAGUUACGCUAAUACCGCAUAUUCUGUGAGCAGGAAAGCAGGGGAUCGCAAGACCUUGUGCUGAUUGAGCGGCCGAUGUCAGAUUAGCUAGUUGGUGAGGUAAAGGCUCACCAAGGCGACGAUCUGUAGCGGGUCUGAGAGGAUGAUCCGCCACACUGGGACUGAGACACGGCCCAGACUCCUACGGGAGGCAGCAGUGGGGAAUUUUGGACAAUGGGGGCAACCCUGAUCCAGCCAUGCCGCGUGAGUGAAGAAGGCCUUCGGGUUGUAAAGCUCUUUCGGCCGGGAAGAAAUCGCACAGGCUAAUACCUUGUGUGGAUGACGGUACCGGAAUAAGAAGCACCGGCUAACUACGUGCCAGCAGCCGCCGUAAGAC
rnacentral:rRNA from 1 species